GACGAACGCUGGCGGCGUGCUUAACACAUGCAAGUCGAACGAGACCUUCGGGUCUAGUGGCGCACGGGUGCGUAACGCGUGGGAAUCUGCCCUUGGGUUCGGAAUAACAGUUAGAAAUGACUGCUAAUACCGGAUGAUGACGUAAGUCCAAAGAUUUAUCGCCCAAGGAUGAGCCCGCGUAGGAUUAGCUUGUUGGUGGGGUAAAAGCUCACCAAGGCGACGAUCCUUAGCUGGUCUGAGAGGAUGAUCAGCCACACUGGGACUGAGACACGGCCCAGACUCCUACGGGAGGCAGCAGUGGGGAAUAUUGGACAAUGGGCGAAAGCCUGAUCCAGCAAUGCCGCGUGAGUGAUGAAGGCCUUAGGGUUGUAAAGCUCUUUUACCCGGGAUGAUAAUGACAGUACCGGGAGAAUAAGCCCCGGCUAACUCCGUGCCAGCCGCCGCGGUAAUAC
rnacentral:rRNA from 1 species